rnacentral:rRNA from 1 species
UACGUAGGGGGCAAGCGUUGUCCGGAAUCAUUGGGCGUAAAGCGCGCGUAGGCGGCCCGGUAAGUCCGUUGUGAAAGUCAAAGGCUCAACCUUUGAACGCCGAUGGAUACUGCCGGGCUAGAGUCCGGAAGAGGCGAGUGGAAUUCCUGGUGUAGCGGUGGAAUGCGCAGAUAUCAGGAGGAACACCGGUGGCGAAGGCGGCAUCCUGGACCAAAACUGACGCUGAGUGAGCGAAAGCCAGGGGAGCAAACGGG